AACGAACGCUGGCGGCAUGCCUAACACAUGCAAGUCGAACGAUUGCCCUCUGAUAGUUUUGGCUCACGGGUGCGUAACGCCUGGCAAUCUGCCCUUAGAUUCGGAAUUACAUCUUGAUACGGCUUCUCAUACCGGAUGAUACCCCAAGACCAAAGAUUUCCCGCCUGAGUAUGCGCGCGCGUUGGGUUCGGUAGUCGGUUGGGUAAGGGGGUACCAAGCUGACGAUCCAUAGCUGGUCUGAGAGGAAGAUCCGCCACACUGGCACUGGGACACGGUCCAGAAUACUACGGGAGGCAGCAGAGGGGGAUAUUGGAAAAUCGGGGCAAGGAUGAUGCAGCAAGGCCGGGUGAGUGAUGAAGGUGGUAGGGAUGUAAAGCUCUUUUACCCGGGAAGAUAAUGACUGUACCGGGAGAAUAAGCCCCGGCUAACUCCGUG
rnacentral:rRNA from 1 species